rnacentral:rRNA from 1 species
AAUGAACGCUGGCGGCGUGCCUAACACAUGCAAGUCGAAUGUGCCGCAAGGUGCAUGGCAGACGGGUGAGUAACGCGUGGGCAAUCUACCUUUUCGUGGGAAUAACGAUCCGAAAGGAUUGGUAAUACCGCAUGAGACCAAUGGCUGGGAUGCUGUUGGUGAAACCUGGGGACCGCAAGGCCUGGGGGCGAAAAGAGGAGCCUGCGUCUGAUUAGCUAGUUGGCGGGGUAACGGCCCACCAAGGCUUCGAUCAGUAGCCGGCCUGAGAGGGUGAUCGGCCACACUGGAACUGAGACACGGUCCAGACUCCUACGGGAGGCAGCAGUGGGGAAUUUUGCGCAAUGGACGAAAGUCUGACGCAGCAACGCCGCGUGGGUGAUGAAGGUCUUCGGAUUGUAAAACCCUGUCGUCGAGGACGAAGGUCGGAGUGUUAAUAGCGCUUUGGCUUGACGGUACUCGGAGAGGAAGCCCCGGGCUAACUCUGUGCCAGCAGCCGCGGUAAU